GAGUACGAUUCCCAGUGGUGCAUUGCUCUUGAGCAAGACACUUUAUUUCACGUUGAUCCAAUCCAUCCCGCUGACAAAAACGAGUUGUACCCGUAAUUCAAAGGGCCGGCCAUGUCAAAUUCUGUGUCACGCUGAAUAUUCAUGAGAACUACGUUAAGGGUACACGUGUCUGUGGAGUGCUCAGCCACUUGUACGUUAAUUUCACGAGCAGGCUGUUC